rnacentral:rRNA from 1 species
GGGGGCCCGCAAGCGGCGGAGCAUGCGGAUUAAUUCGAUGCAACGCGAAGAACCUUACCAAGGCUUGACAUACACCGGAUCGCCACAGAGAUGUGGUUUCCCUUCGGGGCUGGUGUACAGGUGGUGCAUGGUUGUCGUCAGCUCGUGUCGUGAGAUGUUGGGUUAAGUCCCGCAACGAGCGGAACCCCUAUUCUAUGUUGCCAGCAAUUCGGUUGGGGACUCAUGGGAGACUGCCGGGGUCAACUCGGAGGAAGGUGGGGACGACGUCAAAUCAUCAUGCCCCUUAUGUCUUGGGCUUCACGCAUGCUACAAUGGCCGGCACAAUGGGUUGCGAGAUCGUGAGGUUGAGCUAAUCCCAUAAAACCGGUCUCAGUUCGGAUUGGGGUCUGCAACUCGACCCCAUGAAGUCGGAGUCGCUAGUAAUCGCAGAUCAGCAACGCUGCGGUGAAUACGUUCCCGGGGCCUUGUACACACC